rnacentral:rRNA from 1 species
AGUCGUACGAGGUUUUCCGAGGUGCUUGCACUUUGGAAGCCUAGUGGCGAACGGGUGCGUAACACGUGAGCAACCUGUCCUACGGUGGGGGAUAGCCGGCCCAACGGCCGGGUAAUACCGCGUAAUGCAGCGAAACAUAUGUUGCGUUGUGAAAGCGGCCGCAAGGUCGCGCCGGAGGAGGGGCUCGCGGCCUAUCAGCUUGUUGGUGGGGUAACGGCCUACCAAGGCUACGACGGGUAGCUGGUCUGAGAGGAUGAUCAGCCACAUUGGGACUGAGAUACGGCCCAGACUCCUACGGGAGGCAGCAGUGGGGAAUAUUGCGCAAUGGCCGCAAGGCUGACGCAGCGACGCCGCGUGUGGGAUGAAGGCCUUCGGGUUGUAAACCACUGUCGGGAGGGACGAAUACCUGGCUUCGAAUAGUUGACCAGGGGUGACGGUACCUCCAAAGGAAGCACCGGCUAACUCCGUGCCAGCAGCCGCGGUAAUACGGAGGGUGCGAGCGUUGUCCGGAAUCACUGGGCGUAAAGAGCGCGUAGGCGGCCGUUUAAGUCAUUUGUGAAAUGCCGGGGCUCAACUCCGGAACUGCACGUGAUACUGGACAGCUAGAGAACGGUAGAGGCGAGCGGAAUUCCCGGUGUAGCGGUGGAAUGCGUAGAUAUCGGGAGGAACACCAGAGGCGAAGGCGGCUCGCUGGGCCGAUGCUGACGUUGAGGCGCGAAAGCGUGGGGUAGCAAAACAGGAUUAGAUACCCUGGUAGUCCACGCCGUAAACGAUGGGCACUAGGCGUCGGGAGGUGCGACCCUUUCGGUGCCGUCGCUAACGCAGUAAGUGCCCCGCCUGGGGAGUACGGCCGCAAGGCUGAAACUCAAAGGAAUUGACGGGGGCCCGCACAAGCGGUGGAGCAUGUGGUUUAAUUCGAUGCAACGCGAAGAACCUUACCUGGGCUUGACAUGUUAGUGAAAGCCGGUGGAAACACUGGCCCCUCUUCGGAGCACUUUCACAGGUGCUGCAUGGCUGUCGUCAGCUCGUGUCGUGAGAUGUUGGGUUAAGUCCCGCAACGAGCGCAACCCUCGCUCCCAGUUGCCAGCGGUUCGGCCGGGGACUCUGGGGGGACUGCCGGUGUCAAACCGGAGGAAGGUGGGGACGACGUCAAGUCAUCAUGGCCCUUACGCCCAGGGCGACACACGUGCUACAAUGGCCGGUACAACGCGCUGCGAACCUGCGAGGGUGAGCCAAUCGCUAAAAGCCGGUCUAAGUUCGGAUUGCAGUCUGUAACUCGACUGCAUGAAGUCGGAAUCGCUAGUAAUCGCGGAUCAGCCAUGCCGCGGUGAAUACGUUCCCGGGCCUUGUACACACCGCCCGUCACGCCAUGGAAGUUGGGGGGACCCGAAGCCGGUGAGCUAACCGC